AGAAAAGGUGGCCUCUACCUGUAAGCUAUCGCCUGAAGAGGGGUUUGCGUCUGAUUAGCUGGUUGGAGGGGUAACGGCCCACCAAGGCGACGAUCAGUAGCCGGUCUGAGAGGAUGAACGGCCACACUGGAACUGAGACACGGUCCAGACUCCUACGGGAGGCAGCAGUGGGGAAUCUUCCGCAAUGGGCGAAAGCCUGACGGAGCAACGCCGCGUGAGCGAUGACGGCCUUCGGGUUGUAAAACUCUGUGAUCCGGGACGAAAAGGCAGAGUGCGAAGAACAAACUGCAUUGACGGUACCGGAAAAGCAAGCCACGGCUAACUACGUGCCAGCAGCCGCGGUAAUACGUAGGUGGCAAGCGUUGUCCGGAAUUAUUGGGCGUAAAGCGCGCGCAGGCGGCUUCCCAAGUCCCUCUUAAAAGUGCGGGGCUUAACCCCGUGAUGGGAAGGAAACUGGGAAGCUGGAGUAUCGGAGAGGAAAGUGGAAUUCCUAGUGUAGCGGUGAAAUGCGUAGAGAUUAGGAAGAACACCGGUGGCGAAGGCGACCUUCUGGACGAAAACUGACGCUGAGGCGCGAAAGCGUGGGGAGCAAACAGGAUUAGAUACCCUGGUAGUCCACGCCGUAAACGAUGGAUAAUAGGUGUAGGAGGUAUCGACCCCUCCUGUGCC
rnacentral:rRNA from 1 species